GACGAACGCUGGCGGCGUGCCUAAUACAUGCAAGUCGAGCGAAGUUUUUCUGGUGCUUGCACUAGAAAAACUUAGCGGCGAACGGGUGAGUAACACGUAAAGAACCUGCCUCAUAGACUGGGACAACUAUUGGAAACGAUAGCAAAUACCGGAUAACAGUAUUUCUCGCAUGAGAGAUAUUUAAAAGUUGGUUAUGCUAACACUAUGAGAUGGCUUUGCGGUGCAUUAGCUAGUUGGUGGGGUAAAGGCCCACCAAGGCGACGAUGCAUAGCCGACCUGAGAGGGUGAUCGGCCACACUGGGACUGAGACACGGCCCAGACUCCUACGGGAGGCAGCAGUAGGGAAUCUUCCGCAAUGGGCGAAAGCCUGACGGAGCAACGCCGCGUGAGUGAAGAAGGAUUUCGGUUCGUAAAGCUCUGUUGUUAGGGAAGAAUGGAUAUGUAGUAACUAUACAUGUAAGAGACGGUACCUAACCAGAAAGCCACGGCUAACUACGUG
rnacentral:rRNA from 1 species